rnacentral:tRNA from 1 species
UGUCAAAAUAAGCUCAGUUGGUAGAGUGCUUGCCUUGAGUGCAUAAGGCCCUGGGUUCAAGCUCCAGCAGAUAA